CUAGGGUGCUUGCCACGCUGACAGAAAAUUUGGAUCGGCGCUGAACCCGGACGAGGUCGCUGCAGUCAUCGGAGCCUCCUCCGCUGCGGGAGGCUAAGGGUGAGAGGAAGGAGGUGUCGUCAGCUCCAGAAGGAUCAGCAGCCCUCCUCGUCAACUGCAUAUGCCGAGGUCGCUGCUGGUGCUGCCGACUCUGCACCAGCCUCCUUCAUCUCCCAACCAAGGCCGUCUCAACCCCUCAAGAAGAGCAGGGAUGCUCUCUGUCUACACCCGGCGUCCACACAGCCAGAUCGACAGGGGUUUGGAUGGCUUGAUGAGAGCAGCCCAGUAGCCGUACCUCUGCAACUUCGCCAAUGUGGACGCAUAGCUCUCUAUAAGAAGAUCAAUCAUUGAUGACUUGCCGAUUUACAAGGCAUGUAAAAAAUAUAUACUUUCUAUGUGUUCUUUGGAUCAACUAAUGUGAGGAGAAAACAGAUUGGGGGGAUAUGAGGCUAUUGGUGUUUAUUCCUAAAUGAGGUAUUUCUGAGUUGGUUCACUCUGGAAAAAGGCUUUCCAUAAGGUGGUCCGCAGCUGGGCCUCAAAGAAAUUCAUGACUGGAUGGCCACAGAACACUAAAUAAGUUGGCAAUGGAUACCCUGUGGUCUACCAUUAUAGUUAUGUGUGCAUUUUGGAUCUAUUGGAUGUCUGAAUGUAAUGCUAAUCGACAUUUACUGAUGCAAAGAUUUUGCAGGGAUGUAGAUAUAUAUGGUGAUCACUACGACCUAAGUGUUUCAGUUCGUAUUUAGCAGGAUCACAUGUUGACCAAUGACUCUUUGUUUUCUCACUGAUCCAGUAUACUCAAGAACUUGAAUAUUGUGUUUGCUGCCAUGGUUGAUACCGCUUGGUGGCUGGAUCUGCCAUGGAGUGGCUACCAUGGGCCAACAAGAGCUCAACAAGAGGGCCAAAUUGUUGUUCUUUCCCAGAUCAUCUAAAUCAGAUGGAUGGGCUCCAAACUCCCAGUGCCAUUUGUCACUUUUGUGUUUGAAUUUUUACUCGAGUGCCUUUGGACAUAUGGUACUACGGAGAGGUGACAUUAGCACAAUUGAUGGUUGCUUCUCCUCUCCUGUCGACUAAAUCUUCUUCCUCUAUAUGUCAAUAUAUCAACAAAACAAGAGAUCUCUAAUAUCAUUGUUUUAUGGAGUUAACAGAUUGUUGAAGAUUUUUGCUGCCAUGGAAUUGUGAGUUUGUGACUAUACAUUCUUGUCCUAUAUGUGAAUUGAAGAUAUAUUGUCUCUUUGUGAAUGCAAAUAUCCAGGUAUGUACGCAAGUCCCAACUUUUAUUUACAUAUUUAUUUAUGAAAUGCAUGCAAGCAAGUCACAUCUUACAGACCAUUGCUCACUUAUAGGUAAAUCUAAUGAGUCAUAAAUUAACCGGUUGGAGAUCGGUAGAAAGUCUAUUGAUAACUGGAGUUUAGAGCUCAAAAUCCUUCUAACUUUUCUACUAAUUGUAUUUUUUUGACAGCUUUCAGAGAGAACAAGUACUGUUGGUCAUUCUCUGACAUGUAUAAUACAAUUUUGAAGAUGUGAAUGGAUGUAUUCAUUUAGUAGAGUAUUAAUAGAUGAUGAAUUCUUUUCUUCGUAGUCAACUGGUGUAUAUCCUGAUAUGUUUAGUCUAUUCCUAAAUUAAUUUGUAAAGUAGCUUGAUCAAUUGUACAGUCUCUCGGUGUAUUAGUACUAUGUUUUUAGGGCGGCCGGAAGAAAUCAGUUUGUCAUGAC